rnacentral:lncRNA from 1 species
GCUAUUUCUUGGGCCGCUCCCUCGGCAUAUGGAGGUUCCCAGGCUAGGGGUCGAAUCGGAGCUGUAGCCACCAGCCUACGCCAGAGCCACAGCAACUCGGGAUCCGAUCCGCAACGCCGGAUCGUUAACCCACUGAGCAAGGCCAGGGAUUGAACCCGAAACCUCAUGUUUCCUAGUCAGAUUCGUUAACCACUGCGCCAUAAUGGGAACUCCUGGAAUGAACAAUUUUUAAGACAAAAGACCUGAUAAAGUAAGAAGGGAAGUAGCCUUGCAGACACGGAAGGAAAGCAGGAGGGCAGGGUGGUCCAGGCAGGAAGUGACGAUUCACAUCUAGAAAAUGAAGCUACAAGGAUUGAGGGCCUAGACAAAUAGUAUGAAGAUGGGGGUCAGGGUCAGAAUUGGGAAUGGACCCUGGACAACUGCCCAGAUGGCACACAGGGAGCAGGGAGUCUCCUCCAGCCUGGUGCUAUCCAUAAGGUCAUGGGCAGGUCAAGCAGUUAAAGGAGGCGGGAGAAGAGAAAAAGAGCUGGAGAGCAUGACUCAUUAUCAUUCACACUCAUCCUUAGAGGUUUGAAGCUUGCGCACUGCCACAGCUACAAAGACGUAACCAGACACCAAGUCUGAUUCUUUUCCCCAUCUUUUUAGGGCCUCAUUCUCGCACAUGGAGGUUCCCAGGCUAGGGGUCAAAUGAGAGCUGUAGCUGCCGGCCUACACCAUAGUCACAGUAAAGCGGGAUCCGAGCCGCGUCUGCAACCUACACCACAGCUCACGGCAACACCGGAUCCUCAACCCACUGAGCAAGGCCAGGGAUCGAACCCACAACCUCAUGUUUCCUAGUUGGAUUCAUUAACCACUGAGCCACGAUGGGAACUCCCAAGAACAGUUCUAAAGCUUCUCUCACCUCCUUGCCCUGGCAAGGGUCUCUGUUGGGCAUUUUCUGAGCUCUGUGCCUUUAUUUCAGUUAUAACAAAGUAUAAAUAGAAAUCUUCUUUUCGUUUUUCAAAGUUUUAUUGAAGUAUAGUUGAUUCACAAUACUGGGACAGUCUGCCACACAGCAAAGUGACUCAGCCAUACACGUACACAUUCUUGUUCCGAUUCUUAAGCUUCAGAUUCAUAGCUUAUCACAGAAUAUUGGGUAGAGUUCCCUGUGCUAUGCAGCAGGUCCCCUUGGCCAGUCAUUCCAUGUACCACCAGGUGUACGUGCCCAUCCCAAACUCCCAGUCUGUCCCUCCCCCUCCACCUGUCCCCUCUAGUAACCAUGAGUUUUUCAAAGUCUGUGAAUCUGUUUCUGUUCUGCAAACAAGUUCAUUUGUAUCCUUUAUUUAGAUUCCACACAUAAGUGAUAUCAUAUGUUUCUCUUUCACUGUUUGACUAACUUCAGUAUGGUAAUCUCUAGGUUCAUCCAAGUUACUGCAGAUGGCAUUAUUUCAUUCUUUUUUAAGGCUGAGUAAUAUUCCAUUGUGUAUGCCAAGAUAUGCACAUCUUCUUUAUCUCUUCCUCUGUCAAUGGACAUUUAGGGACAAAUAGAGAUUUUAUUCCAUGAUGUCUUGUUUUCUUCUCCAUCAUUUGACCAUAAGCUCCAUCAGGAAAAUGAGCCCUUUUGGCUUAUUAUUGUAUUCUUCAUAUCUGGUUCAGUAGCUGCUAAAAGAGUGAAUGUGUAUGACAUGCACACUUGCAUGUGUGUAAUCUGCAUGUCUAAAGGUACAUGUGUAAUGUGCAUAUCUGUGUGUGUAAGGUGCACGCUUGCAUGUGUGCAGUGUACAUCUGUAUGCGUGUGUGUGUGCGUGCUUGCAUGUGUGCAGUGUACAUCUGCAUGCGUGUGUGUGCGUGUGCAUGUGUGUGUUCUUUCCAGAGUGAUCCAUGGGAGACUAGAACACUGUGGGGAGAAUGAAAGGGCACAUCCUCUGUAAGAAAGAACUCAAAGGGGACCCAGCCCAGAGUCUCCGAGCCCUCUCUGGACUUUCCUGCUAGACUCUCCCACCCAGGGAUGUUUUGGGAAAGUACAGCUCUGGGACAGGUUUAGAGUAAAAAGCUCAGAGUAAAAACCUCCACCUCCAGGAGGAGACAGGUGGAAAAUUGUGUCCAGUGGAGUGUUGUAGCAGGAUGAUGAGUCCUAUCCUAGGCCUAGACCAAAGCCUGUGUAAGAGGUCUGGGUUUUCCUAAAGAUGAGUGAAGAAGUGAACCAUGGAGGUUUGACUCUCAGGGGCAGGAAAUCUGUGAGUCUCUAGGCAGAAGAGCAGGGUUGGCAAUGGGGAACACCACGGGAAGGUUAUGAUCAUUUUUCCCUGUAUGAAAUCUUGAACCUAGCCAUGUUCAAAUACAGUUUCAAGCUUUGCUGCAUCAUAAUUCCUCCUAGAUAUCCAGCCCAACACCAUCAGUGACAUAUGUUACGAUCACUCAUCUUUAUGUUGGUAGUGCUUUUCAAGAAGAACUGAAGAAUGGGGUUGUAAAGUGCUGCCGUCAUAUUGGUCUGAGGAAGCAAUAGUCCUGGAUUUCCUGAUUGCAAAAUAAAAUGAAAAGACACCCAAGGGAGAGCUGAAAGUGAGUGAGAAAAAAAAAAUCCACAAAGCAAGUGAGUAGAGAAAUUGAUGGGAAAGAAGCUUCUACUUACUAAAAACCACAGGAGGAAUUUGAUCUCAGAAGACAAAAGGUGGACCCUUGGUAAUAAGCAGAGUAUCAGGGAAUAGAGAGAUGGAGAAGAUGAAAGGAGUUGUGGCAAGACAGGGACAUUAUGUGAUAUUAUUGAUAAGUAGGCCAGGCCUUGGCCUAGCAGGAGGGUGAAUUGGGGGGAAGGGCAAGGGGGAUCAGAUCUGUGGUCCGGAAUGACAACUCAGGGGUCCCUGUGAAGUCUGAAAGGGAGUAGAACAUUAUGUGAGGAUGAGACCAGCUGAAAUAUCAGAAUAUCAACCUGCAAAAAUAAAUGCUGAUGUUUUAAAAGGAAAAAAAAAAA